rnacentral:rRNA from 1 species
UUUAGACAAUGGGRGCAACCCUGGAUCCAGCCAUGCCGUGUGAGUGAAGAAGGCCUUAGGGUAAUAAAACUCUUUCGCCWGGGAUGAUAAUGACAGUAGCAGGUAAAGAAACCCCGGCUAACUCCGUGCCAGCAGCCGCGGUAAUACGGAGGGGGUUAGCGUUSUUCGGAAUUACUGGGCGUAAAGCGCACGUAGGCGGAUUAAAAAGUUAGAGGUGAAAUCCCGGGGCUCAACCCCGGAACUGCCUUUAAAACUAHUAGUCUAGAGUUCGAGAGAGGUGAGUGGAAUUCCGAGUGUAGAGGUGAAAUUCGUAGAUAUUGGGAGGAACACCAGUGGCGAAGGCGGCUCACUGGCUCGAUACUGACGCUGAGGUGCGAAAGUGUGGGGAGCAAACAGGAUUAGAUACCCUGGUAGUCCACACCGUAAACGAUGAAUGCCAGUCGUCGGGUAGUAUACUAUUCGGUGACACACCUA